CCUGAACGCUGGCGGCGUGGCUAAGACAUGCAAGUCGCACGGAUCCCGCAAGGGAUUAGUGGCGAACGGGUGAGUAAUGUAUCGCUAACGUACCCUUUAGUCCGGGAUAGCCAGGGGAAACUCUGGGUAAUACCGGGAAAUAUCAUUUCCCCGCAUGGGAGAUGCUCAAAGGAGCAAUCCGCUGAAGGAGCGGGCGAUAUCGUAUCAGCUAGUUGGUGAGGUAACGGCUCACCAAGGCGACGACGCGUAGCCGGACUGAGAGGUCGGUCGGCCACAUUGGGACGUGAGACACUGCCCACGACUCC
rnacentral:rRNA from 1 species